UUGAAACACGGACCAAGGAGUCUAACAUGUGCGCGAGUCAUUGGGACCGCAUGCCUAAAGGCGAAAUGAAAGUGAAGGUCGGYCYUAGCGCCGACCGAGGGAGGAUGGGCCYCGUCANUAUGNGGCUCCGCACUCCCGGGGCGUCUCGUUCUCAUUGCGAGAAGAGGCGCACCCAGAGCGUACACGUUGGGACCCGAAAGAUGGUGAACUAUGCCUGGUCAGGACGAAGUCAGGGGAAACCCUGAUGGAGGUCCGUAGCGAUUCUGACGUGCAAAUCGAUCGUCGGAACUGGGUAUAGGGGCGAAAGACUAAUCGAACCAUCUAGUAGCUGGUUCCCUCCGAAGUUUCCCUCAGGAUAGCUGGCACUCGGCCGUUCA
rnacentral:rRNA from 1 species